CACGCUGUAAACGAUGAUUACUAGGUGUGGGGGGACUGACCCCUUCCGUGCCGCAGUUAACACAAUAAGUAAUCCACCUGGGGAGUACGGCCGCAAGGUUGAAACUCAAAGGAAUUGACGGGGGCCCGCACAAGCAGUGGAGUAUGUGGUUUAAUUCGAAGCAACGCGAAAAACCUUACCAGGUCUUGACAUCCUAAGAAUCCUGUAGAGAUACGGGAGUGCCCUUCGGGGAACUUAGAGACAGGUGG
rnacentral:rRNA from 1 species